rnacentral:rRNA from 1 species
GACGAACGCUGGCGGCGUGCUUAACACAUGCAAGUCGAACGGAAAGGCCCUGCUUUUGGGGGGUGCUCGAGUGGCGAACGGGUGAGUAACACGUGAGUAACCUGCCCUUGACUUUGGGAUAACUUCAGGAAACUGGGGCUAAUACCGGAUAGGAGCUCCUGCUGCAUGGUGGGGGUUGGAAAGUUUCGGCGGUUGGGGAUGGACUCGCGGCUUAUCAGCUCGUUGGUGGGGUAGUGGCUUACCAAGGCUUUGACGGGUAGCCGGCCUGAGAGGGUGACCGGCCACAUUGGGACUGAGAUACGGCCCAGACUCCUACGGGAGGCAGCAGUGGGGAAUAUUGCACAAUGGGCGGAAGCCUGAUGCAGCAACGCCGCGUGCGGGAUGACGGCCUUCGGGUUGUAAACCGCUUUCGCCUGUGACGAAGCGUGAGUGACGGUAAUGGGUAAAGAAGCACCGGCUAACUACGUG